rnacentral:lncRNA from 10 species
UCAUCUUCUUUCUCUUCUUUUUCUUCUUCUUGUUUGUCUUCUUCCCCCUCUCUCUUUAUUCUCUCCCCAACAGGAUGUGUUCCUUGCCAUCAGUCAACACCAUUUAUUUAUAUGGUAUCUUACCUCGUGAUGAAAGUCUCAGGUGUGUCUUUAUGAGGAGCAUGAAAAUGGACUAAUACACCACAUCUGUAAUAUGGAGGUCUAAACACGCAACUCUUUUCUCAUAUGAUUCAGAAGAUGUGAAACAUGAAUGUGAAACUAUUAACAUGUCAUGUAACACGUAGAUAGUAUAUAUACAUGUUAUUAUAUAAUUAUUAUUAUGAGAUUAUUAUAUAAUUAUCCAAGGAUGUGAAAACAAUUCUCAGACAAAUGUACAUAUUCAAAAGAUGGCAU